CAAUAGCGUAUAUUAAAGUUGUUGCAGUUAAAAAGCUCGUAGUUGGAUUUCUGGCCGAGUGUCCCUAGGCCAGCAUGACGUUUGGUCCUAGGCGCUCUGCCAUCCUUCUGUCAACCUUCGCCUUCUUCAUUGGGGGCGCUGGGGCUCAGAUAUUUUACCUUGAGAAAAUUAGAGUGUUUCAGGCAGGCUUUCGCCGGAAUACAUUAGCAUGGAAUAAUAGAAUAGGACUACGGUCUCGUUGUUGGUUUGAGGGACUGGAGUAAUGAUUAAUAGGGAUAGUUGGGGGCAUUAGUAUUUAAUUGUCAGAGGUGAAAUUCUCAGAUUAACUAAAGACUAACUUAUGCGAAAGCAUUUGCCAAGGAUGUUUUCACUGAUCAAGAACGAAAGUUAGGGGAUCGAAGACGAUCAGAUACCAU
rnacentral:rRNA from 1 species